GACUACGUGAUUUAAGUGCUGCCUCUCC
rnacentral:sRNA from 1 species